UACGAGUGCCCCGAGCGUUAUCCGGAAUCAUUGGGCGUAAAGGGUGUGUAGGUGGUUUUGUUAGUCUCCUGUCAAAUUCUUCGGCUUAACCGGGGGUCCGCAGGGGAAACGGCAAAACUAGAGGAUGCGAGGGGUGAAUGGAACUCAUAGUGGAGGGGUGAAAUGCGUAGAGAUCCGGAGGAACACCAGUGGCGAAGGCGACACGCUGGGCCGUACCUGACACUGAUGCGCGACAGCAUGGGGAGCAAACAGG
rnacentral:rRNA from 1 species